rnacentral:rRNA from 1 species
AUUUGUCUGGUUAAUUCCGAUAACGAACGAGACCUUAACCUGCUAACUAGUUCUCAAUACUCUGUAUUCUGCAACUUCUUAGAAGGACUAUGUAAAUCAAUUACAUGGAAGUUUGAGGCAAUAACAGGUCAGUGAUGCCCUUAUAUGUCCUGGGCUGCACGCGUGCUACACUGAUGCAUACAACAAGUGCCUAGCCAGACAUGGUAUGGCAAUCUCGAAUAUGCAUCGUGAUGGGGAUAGAUCUUUGCAAUUAUAGAUCUUGAACGAGGAAUUCCUAGUAAGUGCAAGUCAUCAUCUUGCAUUGACUAUGUCCCUGCCCUUUGUACACACCGCCCGUCGCUCCUACCGAUACCGGGUGAUCCGGUGAACCUUUUGGACUCCGUACGGGGAAAGAUAAGUAAACCAUAUCACCUAGAGGAAGGAGAAGUCGUAACAAGGUUUCCGUAGGUGAACCUGCRGAAGGAUCA